GGUUUCCUGCUUCCUGUGGCCAGCACAAGAGACCCUGCUUGCACAGAGAAAGAGAUUUAUCGGUGGCCUGUCAGGGAGUCGGUGAAAACCAUGUUGGCGACAGGCUGGAGCGUGGAACGUUCUAAGGAAGGAGAAGGGAAAAUGAGAAGAUGCGCAGCAUGUCCCAGGCCAGCCAGGUAUACGAGCGAUCAAAUGUAUGUUACAAGCAGAAUCAUAUCCCAGGUACGCCUUCUAACUGGACUCCACAUUCUAGACUACAUCACUGACUA